rnacentral:rRNA from 1 species
UUCCUGGCUCAGGAUGAACGCUAGCGGCAGGCCUAACACAUGCAAGUCGAGGGGCAGCACAAAAGGUAGCUUGCUAUCUUUGGUGGCGACCGGCGCACGGGUGCGUAACGCGUAUGCAACCUACCCAUAACGAGGGGGAUAACACUGAGAAAUUGGUACUAAUACCCCAUAACACCUUAAGAGGCAUUCUUUUGUAGGUUGAAAGUUCCGGCGGUUAGAGAUGGACAUGCGUUGUAUUAGCUAGAUGGUGAGGUAACGGCUCACCAUGGCGACGAUACAUAGGGGGACUGAGAGGUUAACCCCCACACUGGUACUGAGACACGGACCAGACUCCUACGGGAGGCAGCAGUGAGGAAUAUUGGUCAAUGGACGCAAGUCUGAACCAGCCAUGCCGCGUGCAGGAAGACGGCUCUAUGAGUUGUAAACUGCUUUUGUACAAGGGUAAACCUCGGUACGUGUACCGAGCUGAAAGUACUGUACGAAUAAGGAUCGGCUAACUCCGUG